CACCGUGCGGUGAGCACGAGCGAACAAUUCUUUCGCCUUUUACUAAAAAAUACUGUGUGCUCUCCAUUAAAAGCGGCAUACGCCAAUUUUUGGAAGGGUUUUCCUUGUUGAAUGCC